rnacentral:rRNA from 1 species
GAUGAACGCUGGCGGCGUGCCUAAUACAUGCAAGUCGAGCGAACAGACGAGGAGCUUGCUCCUCUGACGUUAGCGGCGGACGGGUGAGUAACACGUGGAUAACCUACCUAUAAGACUGGGAUAACUUCGGGAAACCGGAGCUAAUACCGGAUAAUAUAUUGAACCGCAUGGUUCAAUAGUGAAAGACGGUUUUGCUGUCACUUAUAGAUGGAUCCGCGCCGCAUUAGCUAGUUGGUAAGGUAACGGCUUACCAAGGCAACGAUGCGUAGCCGACCUGAGAGGGUGAUCGGCCACACUGGAACUGAGACACGGUCCAGACUCCUACGGGAGGCAGCAGUAGGGAAUCUUCAGAAAUGGGCGAAAGCAUGACGGAGCAACGCCGCGUGAGUGAUGAAGGUCUUCGGAUCGUAAAACUCUGUUAUUAGGGAAGAACAAAUGUGUAAGUAACUAUGCACGUCUUGACGGUACCUAAUCAGAAAGCCACGGCUAACUACGUG